GACGAACGCUGGCGGCGUGCUUAACACAUGCAAGUCGAACGGAAAGGCCCUGCUUUUGUGGGGUGCUCGAGUGGCGAACGGGUGAGUAACACGUGAGUAACCUGCCCUUGACUUUGGGAUAACUUCAGGAAACUGGGGCUAAUACCGGAUAGGAGCUCCUGCUGCAUGGUGGGGGUUGGAAAGUUUCGGCGGUUGGGGAUGGACUCGCGGCUUAUCAGCUUGUUGGUGGGGUAGUGGCUUACCAAGGCUUUGACGGGUCGCCGGCCUGAGAGGGGGACCGGCCACAUGGGGACUGCGAUACGGCCCAGACUCCUACGGGAGGCAGCAGGGGGGAAUAUGGCACAAUGGGCGGAAGCCUGAUGCAGCGACGCCGCGUGCGGGAUGACGGCCUUCGGGUUGUAAACCGCUUUCGCCUGUGACGAAGCGUGAGUGACGGUAAUGGGUAAAGAAGCACCGGCUAACUACGUG
rnacentral:rRNA from 1 species